rnacentral:rRNA from 1 species
GACGAACGCUGGCGGCGUGCUUAACACGUGCAAGUCGAACGGAAAGGCCUCUUUCGGGGGGUACUCGAGUGGCGAACGGGUGAGUAACACGUGAGUAACCUGCCCUUGACUUUGGGAUAACUUCAGGAAACUGGGGCUAAUACCGGAUAGGAGCUCCUGCUGCAUGGUGGGGGUUGGAAAGUUUCGGCGGUUGGGGAUGGACUCGCGGCUUAUCAGCUUGUUGGUGGGGUAGUGGCUUACCAAGGCUUUGACGGGUAGCCGGCCUGAGAGGGUGACCGGCCACAUUGGGACUGAGAUACGGCCCAGACUCCUACGGGAGGCAGCAGUGGGGAAUAUUGCACAAUGGGUGGAAGCCUGAUGCAGCAACGCCGUGUGCGGGAUGACGGCCUUCGGGUUGUAAACCGCUUUCGCUCAUGACGAAGCUUUGUGUGACGGUAGUGGGUAAAGAAGCACCGGCUAACUACGUG